UACGUAGGGUGCGAGCGUUGUCCGGAAUUACUGGGCGUAAAGAGCUCGUAGGCGGUUUGUCGCGUCGUCCGUGAAAACUUGGGGCUCAACCCCAAGCUUGCGGCGAUACGGGCAGACUUGAGUACUGCAGGGGAGACUGGAAUUCCUGGUGUAGCGGUGAAAUGCGCAGAUAUCAGGAGGAACACCGGUGGCGAAGGCGGGUCUCUGGGCAGUAACUGACGCUGAGGAGCGAAAGCGUGGGUAGCAAACAGG
rnacentral:rRNA from 1 species